GACGAACGCUGGCGGCGUGCUUAACACAUGCAAGUCGAACGGAAAGGCCCUGCUUUUGUGGGGUGCUCGUGUGGCGAACGGGUGAGUAACACGUGAGUAACCUGCCCUUGACUUUGGGAUAACUUUAGGAAACUGGGGCUAAUACCGGAUAGGAGCUCCUGCUGCGUGGUGGGGGUUGGAAAGUUUCGGCGGUUGGGGGUGUGCUCGCGGGUUAUCAGCUUGUUGGGGGGGUAGUGGCUUACCAAGGCUUUGACGGGUCGCCGGCCUGGGAGGGUGACCGGCCACAUUGGGACUAAGAUACGGCCCAGUCUCCUACGGGAGGCAGCAGGGGGAAGUAUGACACAAUGGGCGGAAGCCUGAGGCAGCAACGCCGCGUGCGGGAUGCCGGCCUUCGGGGGGUAAACCGCUGUCGCCUGUGACGAGGCGUGAGUGACGGUAAUGGGUAAAGAAGCACCGGCUAACUACGUG
rnacentral:rRNA from 1 species